CGGAAGGCAGCAGUGGGGAAUAUUGCACAAUGGGGGAAACCCUGAUGCAGCGACGCCGCGUGAGUGAAGAAGUAUUUCGGUAUGUAAAGCUCUAUCAGCAGGAAAGAAAAUGACGGUACCUGACUAAGAAGCCCCGGCUAACUACGUGCCAGCAGCCGCGGUAAUACGUAGGGGGCAAGCGUUAUCCGGAUUUACUGGGUGUAAAGGGAGCGUAGACGGCUUUGCAAGUCUGAAGUGAAAGCCCGGGGCUCAACCCCGGAACUGCUUUGGAAACUGUAGAGCUAGAGUGCAGGAGAGGUAAGUGGAAUUCCUAGUGUAGCGGUGAAAUGCGUAGAUAUUAGGAGGAACACCAGUGGCGAAGGCGGCUUACUGGACUGUAACUGACGUUGAGGCUCGAAGGCGUGGGGAGCAAACAGGAUUAGAUACCCUGGUA
rnacentral:rRNA from 1 species